GACCGCGUAGCUCAGUUGGCAGAGCAUUGGGCUAGUAUUCCAAAGGUCGUAGGUUCGAUUUCCACCGUGGUCA